UCCGGUUUGUCACCGGCAGUCUCCUAUGAGUGCCCAACUGAAUGGUGGCAACUAAGGACGAGGGUUGCGCUCGUUGCGGGACUUAACCCAACACCUCACGGCACGAGCUGACGACAGCCAUGCAGCACCUGAACCGGCAGUCCCCGAAGGGAAAGCUCCAUCUCUGGAGCGGUCCACCGUUGUCUAACCCAGGUAAGGUUCUUCGCGUUGCGUCGAAUUAAACCACAUGCUCCACCGCUUGUGCGGGCCCCCGUCAAUUCCUUUGAGUUUCAACCUUGCGGUCGUACUCCCCAGGCGGGGCACUUAAUGCGUUAGCGACGACACUCAGGGGGUCGCUCCCCCAAGCAUCUAGUGCCCAUCGUUUACGGCGUGGACUAC
rnacentral:misc_RNA from 1 species